UGCACAAAAAAUCGAGCUGGGGGGUUCCCUGGUCCCCGGCGUUGGGGCGGGGAGCGCUACGCCGAGGGAGGGGGCGGCGCAGACCCGACUAGGGGACACCUGGUCGAGCGCAGCUACCGCUCCGCUCGAGCCCUGCGCUCCAGUGCUCCCGCUGGCUGGAGAGCUCGCCCGGACCGGGGGUCUUCCUCCGCCGCUGACAGUUGAAAAAUUAGAAGAGAUAUCCUGCAGUGGAGUGAGGAAGAGGAGAGAGAGGAGAGAGAACAGCGAUGGCUGACCUCAAAUUCCUUGGCUCAAGUAACUCUUCUUGAUUCAGCCUCCCAAGUAACUAGGUCUACAGGUGACCCUACCUUGUGUCAAGCUGAGACAAAAACUAGCCAGCACAGCCUACCAAGGUUUGUUCUAACAAACCUUACACAGUGAGGAUAGAAAUGUAGCAUUCGACUCAGCUGUCCUGAAGAACUGGUCACAUGUUCUCAGCCAUGGAUCCCAGGAACCAUAAUUCCAAUUUCACUUCUGCGUAUUAAAAAUCAAUUAAGAAAGUCAAGCUCAUAGACUCCUGAUUUCCUGUCCUUCUCAACUCAGGACCAAAUGCACCCCAAAUCACUGAAA